rnacentral:hammerhead_ribozyme from 2 species
GCCAUGCUGACGAGUCCUACAUAAGGACGAAACAGCUGUCCAUGGU